rnacentral:rRNA from 1 species
AGAAUCAACGCUGGCGGCGUGCCUAACACAUGCAAGUCGAACGAGAAAGUGGAGCAAUCCAUUAGUAAAGUGGCGCACGGGUGAGUAACACGUGACUAACCUACCCUUGAGUGGGGGAUAACCUAGGGAAACCUGGGCUAAUACCGCAUAAUACCUACGGGUCAAAGGAGCAAUUCGCUUUAGGAGGGGGUCGCGGCCGAUUAGUUAGUUGGCGGGGUAAUGGCCCACCAAGACGAUGAUCGGUAUCC